GUAGGGUUUGGGGCCUUAGUCAUCUCGUAGUGAUCACGGGCUCCCUCGGCGUCUCCUGUCAGCCCCAGACCUCACCCCUAAACUUUGGACAUUUUCCCCUACGGUGUACCUAACCCCACUCCAACAAUCCCCAGACCCACCACAGUCCUUCCCCCAUUCCGCGGAAGCCACCGGCCGAGAGCCGAGGGCUCCUUUUGCACUGGUGCGGCGAGCGCGGGGUGCAGAGGUCUCUGUGUUGGUUGGUUGAAACAAACAAAAAAAAAAAUGGCCUUCUACAGUUAUAAUUCAUUCUUAGCUAUUUUCUGGACAAGAUUGCCUGGCCAUUCCGUGCACCCUCCCUGCUCUCACUUCCCUCCACUUGCAUUUUUCCACUUGCCAGAUUCUCAUUUGCGUACAGCCUAUAUGAAAAACUGUGGAAGCAGGAAGUACUCCUACCCUGGGCUCACAGGCAACAAUAAAGUCCAUCCCUUACGAACCAGACUCCCCCAAAAACUGCACACGACUUGCUGGCUACAAAAUCACCCUGGUAAACCUCAGCCGGAGCAAAUCCCGGAAGAGCCAAAGGCGACAGACCCUCAGCCUACCAAAGAUGACCAGACCGAGGUUGCAGAAGGAAAGUGGUCCUUGAGACAGAAAAUCAUAGAUGAAGUUAAAUACUAUUACAAUGGAUUCAGUU
rnacentral:lncRNA from 1 species